rnacentral:rRNA from 2 species
GACAGCCAGGAUGUUGGCUUAGAAGCAGCCAUCAUUUAAAGAAAGCGUAAUAGCUCACUGGUCGAGUCGGCCUGCGCGGAAGAUGUAACGGGGCUAAACCAUGCACCGAAGCUGCGGCAGCGACGCUGAUGCGUUGUUGGGUAGGGGAGCGUUCUGUAAGCCUGCGAAGGUGACCUGUGAGGGUUGCUGGAGGUAUCAGAAGUGCGAAUGCUGACAUAAGUAACGAUAAAGCGGGUGAAAAGCCCGCUCGCCGGAAGACCAAGGGUUCCUGUCCAACGUUAAUCGGGGCAGGGUGAGUCG